UACGUAGGGUGCAAGCGUUAAUCGGAAUUACUGGGCGUAAAGCGUGCGCAGGCGGUUAUGUAAGACAGGUGUGAAAUCCCCGGGCUUAACCUGGGAACUGCAUUUGUGACUGCAUAGCUAGAGUACGGUAGAGGGGGGAUGGAAUUCCGCGUGUAGCAGUGAAAUGCGUAGAUAUGCGGAGGAACACCGAUGGCGAAGGCAAUCCCCUGGACCUGUACUGACGCUCAUGCACGAAAGCGUGGGGACAAACGAGG
rnacentral:rRNA from 1 species